AUGCCGAGAGGGUCGGAGAGCUGCGCUUUGAAAGCCAGAAGGGCAGUGUCGCUGCCAUUGCUCUUGCUUGGACCAAGAGAAGAUGUGGGUACAGUGCAGAGCAGGGUGAUCAAGAAGAGAAUGGGUAUGGAUAUGGAUGGAAAUCCAGGUGAGGCCAUGUGUGUUUGGGACAGAGAUGCAAGUGUAUGCUUUGGCUUUGGGCUGAUGAUAUCUUAUAGAUCCAUGCAUCAAUCCAUCUUAAUAUGGUGGGAAGGGUCGUUUUUUAUAGUCUCCAGCUUCAGAGUGGUGCUUUUGGCGUCAAAGACCACUGGGUAA
rnacentral:rRNA from 1 species